AUAGAAGUAGGAAAAUCGAAAUAAGACGCGUUGGUAGGAGACCACAUACAUUUGAACGCCGCCAACAUACAGAAAAUUUAAUGUACCGUACUUACCAGCCUUGAAGGCACCAGAUGAAGGCAAAAUAGAGUUGGCCCCUGAUCGGGCGACUUUUCCCUCCUAUCUGCCUGAUUUACUACAGAUGUAACUUUAAACAAUUUACAAAAAAUUGAAAGUAACUUUUGAACUAUACAGGGCGUCCCAAAAACUGCAUGGACAUUGUUUAAUUUCAUGUAACGUAUAAAAAGCUAUAAAAGCUAUCGCAAUGAAAUAAACAUCAUUAUUAUAUACCAAUAGUCAAAGUCGCAUUUUUCUAGUGUUUUAUUGGUCGAAAACAUAUCUCGUGAGAGAGACGAAAUUAGACUGUUUCCCUCGCGAGAGCGCGAGAGGGAAACAAUACGUUAUCGACCGGCGAAUAAUGAAAAAAAAAAUAACGUGCGCCAUCACGUGAAGGUGCGACCUUUGGACAUGCCUAGUGAUUUAAACUUCCGCUUUUAAUGUUUUAACAAUAAAGUAUUUCAUGUAUUUGCGUUCAUUUGUUCUUCAAUUUGUUGCUUCUUUGACUAUUGAUAUAUAAUAAAACAUUUAUUUACUGAGACCUCGGGAAAGCAGUGUGUUUUGUGGACCCUCGACCGUCGCCUCGGCCUCGCCUCGGGAAACAUCGGCGGUCUCGGGUCCACAAAACACACUGUUUCCCUCGGUCUCAGUAAAUUGAAUUGAAUUGAUUUAAUGACUACUGACUUUGUAACCCAAAAAGG